GCGGAAAUGGCGGAACGGCAGACGCGUUUGGUUGAGGGCCAAAUGGGAGCAAUCUCGUGGAGGUUCAAAUCCUCUUUUCCGCACCA
rnacentral:tRNA from 1 species